CAGAGAGUCCUUGCUCAGAUGUGCUCCAGUGUGCUGAGAGGUCCAGUGUGCUGAGAGGACUAGUGUGAUGGGAGGACCAGUGUGCUGAGAGGACCAGUGCUGGGAGGACCAGUGUGAUGGGAGGACCAGUGUGCUGAGAGGACCAGUGUGCUGGGAGGACCAGUGUGCUGGGAGGACCAGUGAUGGGAGGACCAGUGUGCUGAGAGGACCAGUGCGCUGGGAGGACCAGUGUGCUGAGAGGUCCAGUGCGCUGGGAGGACCAGUGUGCUGAGAGGUCCAGUGCGCUGAGAGGACCAGUGUGCUGAGAGGACCAGUGCGCUGGGAGGACCAGUGCGCUGAGAGGUCCAGUGCGCUGAGAGGUCCAGUGCGCUGAGAGGACCAGUGUGCUGAGAGGUCCAGUGGGCUGAGAGGACCAGUGUGCUGAGAGGACCAGUGUGCUGAGAGGACCAGUUGCGCUGAGUGACCAGUGCGCUGAGAUGACCAGUGCGCUGAGAUGACCAGUGCGCUGAGAGGUCCAGUGCGCUGAGAGGUCCAGUGCGCUGAGAGAACCAGUGCGCUGAGAGGACCAGUGCGCUGAGAGGACCAGUGCG
ensembl:lncRNA